rnacentral:misc_RNA from 1 species
GAAAUGCGAUAAGUAAUGUGAAUUGCAGAAUUCAGUGAAUCAUCGAAUCUUUGAACGCACCUUGCGCUCCUUGGUAUUCCUUGGAGCAUGCCUGUUUGAGUAUCAUGAAAUCUUCAAAGUAAAUCUUUUGUUAACUCAAUUGUUUCUACUUUGGUAUUGGAGGUCUUUGCAGCUUCACACCUGCUCCUCUUUGUUCAUUAGCUGGAUCUCAGUGUUAUGCUUGGUUCCACUCGGCGUGAUAAGUUAUCUAUCGCUGAGGACACUGUAAAAGGUGGCCAAGGUAAAUGCAGAUGAACCGCUUCUAAUAGUCCAUUGACUUGGACAAUACUUUUAUGAUCUGAUCUCAAAUCAGGUAGGACUACCCGCUGAACUUAAGC